rnacentral:rRNA from 1 species
GAUGAACGCUGGCGGCGUGCCUAAUACAUGCAAGUCGAGCGGCAGCACGGUCUUCGGACUGGUGGCGAGCGGCGGACGGCUGAGUAACGCGUAGGAACGUACCCCAAAGUGAGGGAUAAGCACCAGAAAUGGUGUCUAAUACCGCAUGUGCUCUACGGAGUAAAGCUUUUGCGCUUUGGGAGCGGCCUGCGCAUGAUUAGCUAGUUGGUGAGGUAAUAGCUCACCAAGGCGAUGAUCAUUAGCUGGUCUGAGAGGAUGAUCAGCCAGACUGGGACUGAGACACGGCCCAGACUCCUACGGGAGGCAGCAGUAGGGAAUUUUCCACAAUGGGCGAAAGCCUGAUGGAGCAACGCCGCGUGCAGGAUGAAGGCCUUCGGGUUGUAAACUGCUUUUGCGUGGGAAGAAAUUUGACGGUACCACGAGAAUAAGGGGUUGCUAACUCUGUGCCAGCAGCCGCGGUAA